rnacentral:rRNA from 1 species
CCUACGGGUGGCAGCAGUGAGGAAUAUUGGUCAAUGGGCGCAAGCCUGAACCAGCCAAGUAGCGUGAAGGAUGACUGCCCUACGGGUUGUAAACUUCUUUUAUAAGGGAAUAAAGUGAGGCACGUGUACCUUUUUUUAUUGACUUUAUGAAUAAGGGUCGGCGAACCACGUGCCGUGCGCCGAGGUAAUUCGGAGGGUCCGGGCGUUACCCGGAUUUAUUGGGUUUAAAGGGAGCGUAGAGGGGUUGGUAAGUCAGUUGUGAAAGUUUCGGGCUCAACCCGAAAAUUGCAAUUGAUACUGGCAGGCUUGAGUACAGUUGAGGUAGGCGGAAUUCGUGGUGUAGCGGUGAAAUGCGUAGAGAUCACGAAGAACUCCGAUUGCGAAGGCAGCUUACUAAACGGCAACUGACGCUGAUGCGCGAAAGUGUGGGUAUCAAACAGGAUUAGAUACCCCUGUAGUC